rnacentral:rRNA from 1 species
UAGGGAAUCUUCGGCAAUGGACGGAAGUCUGACCGAGCAACGCCGCGUGAGUGAAGAAGGUUUUCGGAUCGUAAAGCUCUGUUGUUAGAGAAGAACGUUGGUAGGAGUGGAAAAUCUACCAAGUGACGGUAACUAACCAGAAAGGGACGGCUAACCACGUGCCAGCAGCCGCGGUAAUACGUAGGUCCCGAGCGUUGUCCGGAUUUAUUGGGCGUAAAGCGAGCGCAGGCGGUUCUUUAAGUCUGAAGUUAAAGGCAGUGGCUUAACCAUUGUACGCUUUGGAAACUGGAGGACUUGAGUGCAGAAGGGGAGAGUGGAAUUCCAUGUGUAGCGGUGAAAUGCGUAGAUAUAUGGAGGAACACCGGUGGCGAAAGCGGCUCUCUGGUCUGUAACUGACGCUGAGGCUCGAAAGCGUGGGGAGCAAACAGG